rnacentral:rRNA from 1 species
AUGGGGCGAAAGCGACACCGAAACAAGGCCGCCGCUGCCGCCGUCGCCGCCGCUGCGGCCCCCGUCGCCAGCCUCCCCGUGGAUAUGCUGGCCAAUAUCCACGCCCGCCUCAGCUUCCUCGACCGCCUCACCUUCGCUGCCGUCUUCCGCACCUCGCGGGACGCAUUCAAGCCGGAGGCCCCCUGUCUCCUCCUGCACGGCACAAUCUUCUCCCUCGCCGAACGCCGCGCCGCAGCCGUGCGCGCCCCGGGGCCCGACCACGCCGUACUGGGCUCCUCCUCCCGCGGGCGGCUCGUCACCGCCGAUGACCGGGCCCGGCUGUGCCUCCUCAACCCGGUCACCGGCGAGCGCCGCGCGCUCCCGGCCAUCGACACCAGCCCCCACAUCUUCGCCCACGGCGGGCGCCACCACUUCACCGUCGACGUCAAGUGGUUCCUCAGGGGCCCGCCGCCGUACCCCUACGGCACCAUGACGUACACCACCGAGAGGGUGCGCCACGCGCUCUACCGCAAGGUCGUCCUCUCAGACUCCGCCGACGUCGCCAUGCUCAUCACGGGGCCGGAGUACGGCGUUGCGGCCUUCGCCACGGCCGGCGGCGGCGCGUGGAGGCUGGCACCCCCGCGCGACGGCAUCGAGCCGAUUCCUACGUCGGAGGCCGGCUCGUGGAGGCUGUGGCACUCGCGCAACGGCGUCGAGGAUGCCGUCCACCACGAGGGCAGGUUCUACUCAGUCACGUACUCCGGCGAAGUGGAGGCGUGGGAGGAGCGCGAAGCCGAUGCCGCCGGCGUGUUCACGAGCGCGGUGGUUGCGCCGAGCCUGCUGCUGCCGGCCGAUACGGACCAUCGCAAGUACCUCGUGGUGGCGCCGGCCGGACGGCUGAUGGUCGUGCUCAAGGAGACAACAGGUCGACGGACGUCGCCGUCCUUCAAGGUGCAGGUCCUCGACGCCAGCAGGCAGGGGUGGAAGGAGACGGACGACAUUGGCGAAGCCGCGCUGUUCGUCGCGGUGAACGGUUCCCUCUGCGUGUCGACGAGGGAGCACCCGGAGCUCAAGGCCGGCUGCGUCUACUACUACACCGAGGAUGAUCUGGGGCCGUACGACGACGACGAGGAGAAUGGCGUCAGGGUUUUCAGCCUCAAGGACCGCAGAACAGAGACGGUGGAGGGCCUUGGAUGGGGCCGGAGCUGGCCGCCCCCGGCGUGGUUCAUUCCUUCCAUCCCAUGA